GAGACACCGGACACGUGGAAAGGGCUCCUACGUAUUAAUAUCAAAAAUUUAUAUCCAUUAUGUCAGACAGUCCAAAAGAAGGCUUAGCGCAGACCGGUGAAGAGUUGAAUGCAACACCUACAGAAAAUCCGUGUGCUGAACUCAAGAUAGCCAUGGAAAAAUGUGUGACAGAGAAAGGUCAAGAAAGCUGCCAGGAAUUAAUUCAAGCCUACAAAGAAUGUAUGAAAUCACUAGGAUUGCAAAUCGAAUGAAUUUACAGAUACCAUGAUUGCUGAGAAGGUGUGUGUUUUGAGUCCUCUUCUCCAUUAUUCUCUCCUCUCCAAAUCCGACCAUUCCACUGGGAUGAACAGAUGGGGGAGUCCUACUUUCCGUGACAAGCUGUUAAUUGUUUCAGAUGCAGAUCACCUGCAAGAACCUACCUUAUGCAAUAUCUCUAUCCGCUCCAGCCCUGGGGGGAAUCUGCAAACUCUUUGGAGGACACCAAACAACUAGGAACAAAACUUUCUACAUUUUACCAUUUUAUUUCAGCUUCACCAAUUAUUUCCAUGUGUGUUUGGAAGAAAAGUUGGAUGUGUAAUCCUGUAAAAAGUUCUAGACAUUUAAAAUUUCACUAAAGAUUUAUAAAAAUAAAAAUUAGAAAAUACAUAGAAUCUCGUACACUUGAAUAUCUUGAAUUGUAUUAUUUAUUUGUCAAAGAGCACUUAGUAAAAAGACUCAGACAUUCUUUAAAACUUGGGGGGGAUGCACAACAUCAGAAGAAAUACAUUUCACUGGGACUGAAAGGAUUAAUAAUUCCAAGGCCUGCCUUUAUAACAAUCUCAAAUUUGAUAUGUAGCAUUCCGCAAUUUAAAAAUGGACAAGAGGUGGUAACGUUUGUUUGUGUUAUGUCAAAAUAUCCAUGCCUUUGUAAAAUUUUAGCAAUUCAAAUGACAAAUUAAAUGAAAUGUAAAAAGA